rnacentral:rRNA from 1 species
GACUCUCGACAACGGAUAUCUCGGCUCUCGCAUCGAUAAAGAACGUAUUGAAAUGCGAUACUUGGUGUGAAUUGCAGAAUCCCGUGAACCAUCGAGUCUUUGAACGCAAGUUGCGCCCGAAGCC